UNCAGCCUAACACAUGCAAGUCGAACGGUAACAGGAAGCAGCUUGCUGCUUCGCUGACGAGUGGCGGACGGGUGAGUAAUGUCUGGGAAACUAGCCUGAUGGAGGGGGAUAACUACUGGAAACAGGUAGCUAAUACCGCAUAACGUCGCAAGACCAAAGAGGGGGACCUUCGGGCCUCUUGCCAUCGGAUGUGCCCAGAUGGGAUUAGCUAGUAGGUGGGGUAACUGGCNCACCUAGGCGACGAUCCCUAGCUGGUCUGAGAGGAUGACCAGCCACACUGGAACUGAGACACGGUCCAGACUCCUACGGGAGGCAGCAGUGGGGAAUAUUGCACAAUGGGCGCAAGCCUGAUGCAGCCAUGCCGCGUGUAUAGAAGAAGGCCUUCGGGUUGUAAAGUACUUUCAGCGGGGAGGAAGGCGAUAAGGUAAUAACCUUGUCGAUUGACAGUUACCCGCAGAAGAAGCACCGGCUAACUCCGUGCCAAGCAGACGGCNGUAAUACCGAGGAAGGGGGUGGCCAAAGCAGGUUUNAAANUCCGGCAAAAUUUACCUGGGGAGCCGGUUAAAAAGCGCAACC
rnacentral:rRNA from 1 species